GAAGCGAAGCAGUGAUGUGAAGCAAAUCGCNCCAAAGCCAGUCCCAGUUCGGAUAAGAGGCUGAAACUCGCCUCUUUGAAGUCGGAAUCGCUAGUAAUCGCAGAUCAGCAUGUUGCGGUGAAUACGUUCCCGGGUCUUGUACACACCGCCCGUCAAACCAUGAGAGUCACCAACACCCGAAGUCCGCCUUGGCGGCCUAAGGUGGGGGAGAUGAUUGGGGUUAAGUCGUAACAAGGUACC
rnacentral:rRNA from 1 species